UACAGAGGUCUCAAGCGUUGUUCGGAAUCACUGGGCGUAAAGCGCACGUAGGCGGAUGUGUCAGUCAGGGGUGAAAUCCUGGAGCUCAACUCCAGAACUGCCUCCGAUACUGAGAGUCUUCGAGUCCGGGAGAGGUGAGUGGAACUGCGAGUGUAGAGGUGAAAUUCGUAGAUAUUCGGAAGAACACCAGUGGCGAAGGCGGCUCACUGGCCCGGUACUGACGCUGAGGCGCGAAAGCGUGGGGAGCAAACAGG
rnacentral:rRNA from 1 species